CCCCCCUUCGAAGAAGAGGGGGUAUAUUGCUUUGCACAUGUCGGUCGGUCUGUCGGUCGGUCGGUCGGUCCACCAGGUGGUUUCCGGAUGAUAACUCAAGAACGCUUAGGCCUAGGAUCAUGAAACUUCAUAGGUACAUUGAUCAUGACUCGCAGAUGACCCCUAUUGAUUUUGAGGUCACUAGGUCAAAGGUAAAGGUCACUGUGACCCGAAAUAGUAAAAUGGUUUCCGGAUGAUAAUUCAAGAACGCUUAUGCCUAGGAUCAUGAAACUUGACAGGUAGAUUGAUCAUGACUAGCAGAUGACCCCUAUUGAUUUUCAGGUCACUAGGUCAAAGGUCAAGGUCACGGUGACCCGAAAUAGUAAAAUGGUUUCCGGAUGAUAACUCUAGAACGCUUAUGCCUAGGAUCAUGAAACUUGAUAGGUACAUUGAUCAUGACUGGCAGAUGACCCCUACAGAUAUUCAGGUCACUAGGUCAAAGGUCAAGGUCACAGUGAC